CAUACAUUUGCAUAAAAGCAAGAGAGCAGUGUUCUGGGUUACGUAUGGAAACGGAUAAUGCUCGCUGGGUGCGCUUACUUGCUUAGAAUGCAUCAGAGAUGUAAAAACAUCCAAAGAGGCAUGUAACAUUCUUGCCGGAUUAUUCGCUCGGACGGAUGAUGCCAAGAUACAACAACUCGAGAACGAGCUAUUAUCAAUCUCACAGCGUGAAAUGACAGUGAGUUAUGACCCGAGUUUAAUGCACUCAUCAUGGCAAUUCAUGGAUGGUCUAAGGAGUCGUCUUUAAAUGAGUUGGAAAAUGUAUCAGCAAAAUCAGGAAGCUUUAGACAAACAAAUAUCUAAAGUAUUAGUCAAGGAAGAAGAGAAAGCUCUCUUUAACAAUAGAAAAGAUAAGGCUACUUAUACUACAAGAUCAAGAAGUGAAGGAAAGAAAAAGUAGGAAGGAUGACAAAAGCGUUAUCAAGGAAGAAGCUGACAAUGAAAGGGAGCUCACUACAACCAUCAGUCAGAAGAUAAAACUAGUCGUCGCAAGAAUGGUCAGUGCUACAAUUGUGGCAAACGAGAUCACUAUGCUCGAGAUUGUUGAUUUAAAAGAAUCGAAGGGGAAUGUUGCAAACAUCCACUCAACCUCAAAUUGAAAGUGGAGAUGAAUGGAGUUUUUAGGCUUCAUGUGCCAUUGCAGAAAUGGUAACUAGUGACUCUGAUAUGUUUACAUCCUCCAUCACGACUAAGCUAAAAGAGGAGCAAGCACUUAUCAUGGUGAGUGUUAAAUCUAUCAAUUACAGUGAUGAUUGGAGAGUAGACUCUAGAAGAUAAAAAAAAAUUAUCAAGCAUGACAGAAUAUGAAGGGGGACGAGUUGUUAUCAUUGCAAAUAGCUCAAGGUUAACCAUCACUUACAUUGGCAAGACGACAAUAGUGCCUAGAUAUAAUUCCAGGUAAGUAUUGCUAGAGAAUGUAUUGCACGUGCCUGGGAUGAAGAAUUUGAUAUCAAUGUCACAACUCAAUCCUUGAAAAACUAUAUGGUGUUCAGGCCAAAAGAUGUGAAAGUAUAUCAAAGUCUAAAACCAAUAAGUGUGCCAUUCAUGGAGGGAUGAAAGAUAGAGUCUGUCUAUGUGAUGUCAGCACAAACAACAUUCGAGGAUAAGACUAGAAGGAGUAAGAUAGCUUAUUUAUGGCAUGCAUGGCUAGGACACGUGAACUAUCACAAGUUGAAAGAAAUGAUGGAUAAGUCCAUGCUCAAGGGACUUCCUCAGCUAGAUGUUCGAAAGGAUACGGUAUGUGUUGGAUGUGAGUAUGGGAAAGCACACCAAUUACCUUAUGAAGAUUCUAAGUAUAGAGCUAAAAAGCCUCUAGAGCUUAUUCAUUUAUACGUGUUUAGACCUGUGAAACAACCAUCCAUCAGUGGUUUUGGGUAUUUGAUAACCUUCAUCGAUGACUUCUCAAGGUACAUAUGGUUAUACUUUAUAAAGGAAAAUCAGAAGCCUUUAUCAAGUUUAAGGAGU